GCUGGGUGUGGUGGCGGGCACCUGUAAUCCCAGCUACUCAGGAGGCUGAGGCAGGAGAAUUGCUUGAACCCAGGAGGCAGAGGUUGCAGUGAGCUGAGAUCAUGCCACUGCACUCCAGCCUGGGUGACAGAGCGAGACUCUGUCUCAA
rnacentral:SRP_RNA from 1 species